rnacentral:rRNA from 1 species
GACGAACCGUGCGAACGUUGUUCGGAAUCACUGGACUUAAAGGGCGCGUAGGCGGGCUGCCAAGUCUGGGGUGAAAUCCCACGGCUCAACCGUGGAACUGCCUCAGAUACUGGCGGCCUCGAGGGAGGUAGGGGCAUGCGGAACUAUGCGUGGAGCGGUGAAAUGCGUUGAUAUGCAUAGGAACUCCGGUGGCGAAGGCGGCGUGCUGGACCUCUUCUGACGCUGAGGCGCGAAAGCCAGGGGAGCAAACGGG